CAACUGGGCAGAGGGAUCCUUCUCCCGUCGUGACUGUAAACUCCACUGCUGCUAGUUACCAGGAGCAGACCCUGGAUGCCUGCACGUGAUCAGCUUGUGUGGUCAGCGUGGUACUGUGCUGAGACUGCACAUUGCAAGACAUCUGAAAGUCUCCUGCUAAAACUGGAAGUCCUAUACAGAUCGUCCAGAGGAGCCAGAAGACAAGGACAGAGAUUGUCUGCCUCUUUUCCCAGAAGCCUGGGAAGAAUCAAGUCUCAAUAGCUGACAAGAUAGUUCCCUGAAAGUGUUUGGACACUGUUUUAGACUGUGGCUAGCCCCUGUGAGUUGGGUAAUAAUAAUUUGUGAGUAAAUGCUUAAAUGCCUCUUUGUAAUUCUCCAUUGCCUUCUGCCAUAAGCAGAAAGAGCUCCUUGUCUCCAUCCAGUAGACAAGCAGCAUAUUGACCACAAGUGGCAUUUGACUGCAGGAAUCUUCUCUUCCAGUUCAAUUAAUGUUUAUGUAUUUUACUGCUUGUUACUAGAUCUAGAUAUUAUCCAUAGAAUGUUUCCAUGACCAUGUAAGAACUUAAAUAUUAUUAAAAUUAGUGGUUGGGGGUGGUGAGAGUUCUGAAUGUCAAAAUCAAUAAACAAUAUUAAUUUUGGAAAAAUAUAA